UAUCCUCAUAAGUUCGACAAGAAGAGGAACCAUGAAUUUUAGUAAGUUAAUAACUCCUAUUAAUUUAUUUAUAUGGUGGCACAAAAUCGGAAGCCCCGACUGUUUACUAAAAACACAACUAUCUGCAAUUAUGAAAAUAAUAGUAUAGGUAGUGAGAUUUGCCCAAUGCCAUAUUAAUAAGUAAUAAUAAUGGGUAACUGUUUCUUUACAAAAAAUUGGUUAAUAGCGGUCUUAACUAUGAGGAUCCUAAGGUAGCAAAAUAAAUUGGCCAUUAAAUGUGGUCCGGUAUCAAUAAUUUAACGAUGGCUUCACUGUCUCUACAACUUGCUCAGUGAAAUUGAAUUACCCGUGCAGAUGCGGGUUACCUCAAAGAGGACGGGAAGACCCUAUGC
rnacentral:rRNA from 1 species